AGAUUAUUUUGUCCCACACUGUUCAAUAAAUUCCUCCUUUUGAAAAUUGUUUUGGUCAUAUGACGUGAAAGAUCAGACAGGUUUUUCAUUUAUUUGCUUUUCUCAGCGGCAGGAAAUUAAAAGACAGAGACGGUACUCGGUGGCAACUCGUCAUGGAAUCCUAUGCUAGCAUGUUGAAAAUAUUUUUCUAUUCAAGAGUCUUUAAAGUUGCAGACAUUUUUAUAAUCUUGUACAUGGAAAGCAUAAGAAGAACGCUGCCCAAUAAUAAAUUGAAGAACCUGGUUUUUCCAAAGCAUAGUAUUUUGAAUUCUGAGAAGAAAUAGCAAAAGAAAAUAAUUUUCUGAAAUGGCAGGAGAUGGAUCAAUAUCUUGGGUUGAAGAUGACCCUAAAUUGAUGGCGAUAAAAGUACUGAGCUUGGACAGAUUCAGAAUAAGAUCUGAAAAUUGUUGUAGAAUUACAGCAACAUGUUGGGAAGAUCUAUUGGAUAUGAGGGCUCUGAAUUUACAAAAUUUUCAGGGUUACUUCUCUGAAAAAAUAGCAGGCGAAAUGACUGUGUGAGAAAAAAGAGAAAUUGAUGAGUGGUUCUUGUAUAUUUCUCAUCAUUUUCACAAGAUUCAUUUUGAGGGUUCUUAAAAUACAAGUCCUGGGCUAUGUUGAGAUUGAGAAAGUGAAUGUUUUCAGGCCAUCCAAUGAAAAGGACUUGCAAGUGUUGUUGAUAACCAACUGACAAUGGAUGCAGCCAGGCUUGUAAUUUGAAUGCAUUAUAUACCAUAGUGAUCAACACUUUACAUAUUUGAAUGAAUCAUCUAUGGUUUUAUGCUUGUAUCUACUUUGUAAAAUUGAUUCUUGUUUCAACACUGUUCUAUUUGAAUAUAACCCCUUGUCCUCAUGCGGCUGCUUAAGUGCAUUAUCUGCUUAA